GGCUGAAAUUCGCCUUCAUGAAGCUGGAAUUGCUAGUAAUGGCAGGUCAGCAUACUGCCGUGAAUACGUUCCCGGGCCUUGUACACACCGCCCGUCGCACCAUGGGAGUUGGGAGCGCCCGAAGCCGGUGAGGUAACCGAGAGGAGCCAGCCGUCGAAGGUGAGACCAAUGACUGGGGUGAAGUCGUAACAAGGUACC
rnacentral:rRNA from 1 species